AAAUGGGAAGACACCUGUAUAAAAUAAAGAGGCAGGUAGGCACAGUGAGGGCUGGAGAAAAAAAAGAAUGGAGGACAUAAAAGAUUUUUAAAGAAUAAACACCCAGUAGGAUUGAGACAGUGGAGUAUGCAAAGCAGAAAGAGAGGUUAUGAUUAACAAAUUAGGGCAAAGAACAAAUAAGGGCAUAAAAUAUCACAUUCAUGAAACUAAUAACUCAGACAGAACAUACCAGGCAUUAUGUUGUAAUAUCUAACAUGGCUUCUGUACUCCAGCCCAGUUGGUGGCAGUAAUGCACCAUAACGCCAUUAAAUAGAAGAAGAAGAAGAAGCAGCUGCGGUUUUAGCAGAGGCACUAACUGCACUUCCAUUUGACUCCACUAAAGGCACAGCGAGGUGAAAACAGCCACAUGAACUGCAGCUGCAUGUCCUCGUGAAUUUAUAUCAACGUUUGCCCUAAAGGAAAACCGACAGAUAAAGCAGAAGCACAUGAAAUAAAGACCUGUCUGGGGCAAGUCAGAAAAUGAUGCCAUUUCCUUCCCCCUCCAAAAGACAGAAAAGUGAGCUUUUCUCACUGCAGUGCCCUUAUCUGUAAAAACAGUGAUAAAGUUGGUGGUUAUUUGCAGCAGAUCCAUGGACUAACUCAGGGUUAUUGUUUAAUUGGUUCUCCAUUUUCUGAACUCUAAAUUUCAAAAGGAAAUUUAAGAAAAAAC